GGUAGCAUAAUCAAUAGUCUUUUAAUUGGAGGCUUGAAUGAAAGGUCGGACGAAGAUAAUCUGUCUUUUAAUUAGAAAUUGAAUUUUACUUUUAAGUGAGAAGGCUUAAAUUUCUAAGUGGGACGAUAAGACCCUAUAAAACUUUAUGUGUAGAAUUUAUAUAUAAAUUAUAAAUUAAAAUUAAUAAAUUUUAUAACAUUAUAUUGGGGCGAUAGAAAUAUAAAUAAUAACUGUUUUUAAAAAUUAAAUAUUAUAAAUGAUCCUUAAAUUGAGAUUAUAAGUUCAAGUUACUUUAGGGAUAACAGCGUUAUUUUUCCUGAGAGUUCUUUUCGAAGGAAGUAGUUGCGACCUCGAUGUUGAAUUAAAAUGUUAUCAAGGUGCAGGAGCUUUGAUUGUAGGUCUGUUCGACCUUUAAAAUUUUACAUGAUUUGAGUUCAAACCGGUGUGAG
rnacentral:rRNA from 1 species